UACGUAGGGUGCAAGCGUUUGUCCGGAAUUAUUGGGCGUAAAGAGCUCGUAGGCGGUCUGUCGCGUCGGCUGUGAAAUCCCGGAGCUCAACUCCGGGUCUGCAGUCGAUACGGGCAAACUGGAGUACUGCAGGGGAGACUGGAAUUUCUGGUGUAGCGGUGAAAUGCGCAGAUAUCAGGAGGAACACCGGUGGCGAAGGCGGGUCUCUGGGCAGUAACUGACGCUGAGGAGCGAAAGCGUGGGGGAGCGAACAGG
rnacentral:rRNA from 1 species